UUUGAAGUGUGGACGCCAGUCUGCAUGGAGCCGACCUUGAAAUACCACCCUUUAAUGUUUGAUGUUCUAACGUUGACCCGUAAUCCGGGUUGCGGACAGUGUCUGGUGGGUAGUUUGACUGGGGCGGUCUCCUCCUAAAGAGUAACGGAGGAGCACGAAGGUUGGCUAAUCCUGGUCGGACAUCAGGAGGUUAGUGCAAUGGCAUAAGCCAGCUUGACUGCGAGCGUGACGGCGCGAGCAGGUGCGAAAGCAGGUCAUAGUGAUCCGGUGGUUCUGAAUGGAAGGGCCAUCGCUCAACGGAUAAAAGGUACUCCGGGGAUAACAGGCUGAUACCGCCCAAGAGUUCAUAUCGACGGCGGUGUUUGGCACCUCGAUGUCGGCUCAUCACAUCCUGGGGCUGAAGUAGGUCCCAAGGGUAUGGCUGUUCGCCAUUUAAAGUGGUACGCGAGCUGGGUUUAGAACGUCGUGAGACAGUUCGGUCCCUAUCUGCCGUGGGCGCUGGAGAACUGAGGGGGGCUGCUCCUAGUACGAGAGGACCGGAGUGGACGCAUCACUGGUGUUCGGGUUGUCAUGCCAAUGGCACUGCCCGGUAGCUAAAUGCGGAAGAGAUAAGUGCUGAAAGCAUCUAAGCACGAAACUUGCCCCGAGAUGAGUUCUCCCUGACUCCUUGAGAGUCCUGAAGGAACGUUGAAGACGACGACGUUGAUAGGCCGGGUGUGUAAGCGCAGCGAUGCGUUGAGCUAACCGGUACUAAUGAACCGUGAGG
rnacentral:rRNA from 1 species